rnacentral:rRNA from 1 species
GGGAAUCUUCCGCAAUGGGCGAAAGCCUGACGGAGCAACGCCGCGUGAGUGAUGAAGGUCUUCGGAUCGUAAAACUCUGUUAUCAGGGAAGAACAAAUGUGUAAGUAACUGUGCACAUCUUGACGGUACCUGAUCAGAAAGCCACGGCUAACUACGUGCCAGCAGCCGCGGUAAUACGUAGGUGGCAAGCGUUAUCCGGAAUUAUUGGGCGUAAAGCGCGCGUAGGCGGUUUUUUAAGUCUGAUGUGAAAGCCCACGGCUCAACCGUGGAGGGUCAUUGGAAACUGGAAAACUUGAGUGCAGAAGAGGAAAGUGGAAUUCCAUGUGUAGCGGUGAAAUGCGCAGAGAUAUGGAGGAACACCAGUGGCGAAGGCGACUUUCUGGUCUGUAACUGACGCUGAUGUGCGAAAGCGUGGGGAUCAAAC